CGCAACCCUUAUCCUUUGUUGCCAGCGAGUAAUGUCGGGAACUCAAAGGAGACUGCCGGUGAUAAACCGGAGGAAGGUGGGAUGACGUCAAGUCAUCAUGGCCCUUACGAGUAGGGCUACACACGUGCUACAAUGGCAUAUACAAAGAGAAGCGAACUCGCGAGAGCAAGCGGACCUCAUAAAGUAUGUCGUAGUCCGGAUUGGAGUCUGCAACUCGACUCCAUGAAGUCGGAAUCGCUAGUAAUCGUAGAUCAGAAUGCUACGGUCGAAUACGUUCCCGGGCCUU
rnacentral:rRNA from 1 species